CUUAGGGAAGAAGAAAAAUCAAUUGUGGACAGUGAGCGAGAGACACGUGCUAUUGCGGGAAAAAACAAAAAAAGAGACAAAAUAAGCGGAAGACAAUAUUCAAACACCGGAGUGACGACAGGAGGGUUGGGAUAUACACCAGCGAGGCUUCAUAGGCAGAGGAGUAGCAGUAACUGCGGGCGUUCUGGGAAGUGCGCUGUGCGCGGGUCAGCACCGACCGGCAGUACUGGGUCUUAGGCCGGACCUCGGCCCUAGCGGAAGUCAGGCCAAUUUCCAUGCAACUGGAAGUCUGGGCUAAGUACCCUUCAACAUUAAAAUACUAAAUAUUCACACACAUUCCGCUCAAACAUAGAACCAAAAUUUUAUAUACACCCUACAUACAUAUACAUAGCCAUCUCACAUACACCAGUGCAGCAUAUAACACAAAAUUCAACUAAAUACUCACACAUAUUCCGCUCAAACAUAGAACACAAAAUUUUAUAUACACCACACACUCCUUUAUAUACACUCCAUACAUGUUCACAUACACCAUAUUCAAACACACACCGAAUUUCCAUAGCACUCAGACUCACAUUCAUCCCAUAGCCACAUAAUGUAAAAUACAAAACAAAAAAACAACACACAAAACAAUUAACAAUUUUCUGUUACACACAUAGCCCAAACCAUUCACAACAUAAUAUAAAACAUUAAACAGAAACACAACACCCAAACAUUUAACCAUAUUGUAAUACACACACGCCCAUAGCCACAUAAUGUAAAAUACAAAACAAAAAAACAACACACAAAACAAUUAACAAUUUUCUGUUACACACAUAGCCCAAACCAUUCACAACAUAAUAUAAAACAUUAAACAGAAACACAACACCAAACAAGUAACCAUAUUGUAAACAAAAAUUCAAAUGUAUACUUAAGAAAAAAGAACAUAAAAAAAAAAGAAAAGUAAAAGAAAAUGUAUAAAGUCUAAUAUAAGCAAAAGAGGUUGGAAUGUGUAUUGGA